AGUGGCGAACGGGUGAGUAACAGGUAGACAACUUGCCUCAAUGACUGGGAUAACAUCGGGAAACUGGUGCUAAUACCGGAUAGGAUAUAGACUCGCAUGGGUUUAUAUUUAAAGAUGGUUCUGCCAUCACAUUGAGAGAGGUCUGCUUCGUAUUAGCUUGUUGGUGAGGUAAUGGCUCACCAAGGCGAUGAUGCGUAGCCGAGCUGAGAGGCUGAUCGGCCACACUGGAACUGAGACACGGUCCAGACUCC
rnacentral:rRNA from 1 species